CCGGGACAUUACAAAAGAUGGGAUGGCUAACAGACACUUUUGCUGGCACUUGGCUCGAUGCUCUCGCGGACUACGCGCUGUACAAUACCAACGAGUUCUUUUAUUAUCUAUUUCUCAUUCUCACUCCAAUGCUCGCGAUCUCAUUGUAUCUCACGUAUCUCAUGAUCAAGGGUCUCGAUCAGAGAGACAAGUCGAAGGCUAGAAAAGACAAGAGAAUGGCCAACAAGAUCAAAUCCAGUGGACGUAACACUACGACCACAAAGAGACGAACACGAACGAAGAACAGUUGAGUGCAACAUUUAGAUCUGAUGAGGAACAAUUUUUCUUUGUAAACAUGAUCGUGUGUAUACAGAUUGUAUGACAUUACUGUAUAGUCAGAGUUGAUGCCAUUGUGUUGGCUAGUGUGGAAACUCUGGUGUGAUAGUUGAGCUGUGUUGACUCUUCAGUUACGGAGAGAUCCUAAAAUAUGGUAAUGUUAUUUUAUAGGACAAGCUUUAGUGGAGAGAGAAAGGAGGUGCAUUGUUAAUGUUGGUUGAUUUUAAUUUAUAUGGUCUGUCUGUCCAUCUGUGAUGGUGUCUGUCUGUCUGUCUGUCUAUCUGUCUGUCUGUCCAUCU